AUACAUGGUGUCCGCCUACUCCACGAUAUAGACGGGCAUACAUACGAAAAGGAGGUUACCCCAUCCCGCAGGGCCCGCGGUGCGGCAGUGUGGAGACCUGUCGCAAGGCGGUUCGCUGAGAUUGGCACAGCGACGCGAGGGCACGGCAAAGGACCGCCGCGCUCAGGGCCGGACGCAAUGGCA
ncrna:unclassified sequences malK-I RNA